UACGUAGGGUGCGAGCGUUGUCCGGAUUUAUUGGGCGUAAAGAGCUCGUAGGUGGUUUGUUGCGUCGGAAGUGAAAACCUGCAGCUUAACUGUGGGCUUGCUUUCGAUACGGGCAGACUUGAGGAAGGUAGGGGAGAACGGAAUUCCUGGUGGAGCGGUGGAAUGCGCAGAUAUCAGGAGGAACACCGGUGGCGAAGGCGGUUCUCUGGACCUUUCCUGACGCUGAGGAGCGAAAGCGUGGGGAGCGAACAGG
rnacentral:rRNA from 1 species